UGGGGAAUCUUGCGCAAUGGGCGAAAGCCUGACGCAGCAACGCCGCGUGAGCGAAGAAGGCCUUCGGGUUGUAAAGCUCUGUCAGGGGGAAAGAAGGCACCUGGGUUAAUAGCCCAAGGGCUGACGGUACCCCCAGAGGAAGCCACGGCUAACUACGUGCAGCAGCCGCGGUAAUACGUAGGUGGCGAGCGUUGUCCGGAAUCAUUGGGCGUAAAGAGCGCGUAGGUGGCUUGUCAGGUCCGAUGUGAAAACCUGGGGCUCAACUCCAGGCCUGCAUCGGAAACCGGCUUGCUAGAGUCUGGGAGAGGAGAGUGGAAUUCCUGGUGUAGCGGUGAAAUGCGUAGAUAUCAGGAGGAACACCGGUAGCGAAGGCGGCUCUCUGGAGCAGUACUGACGCUGAGGCGCGAAAGCUAGGGGAGCGAACAG
rnacentral:rRNA from 1 species